GUGAUCUGCCAAUUUGCUCUC
rnacentral:miRNA from 1 species